rnacentral:rRNA from 1 species
GUCGGUAAGGUGAUAUGAACCGUUAUAACCGCCGAUGUCCGAAUGGGGAAACCCAGUGCAAUUCGUUGCACUAUCGUUAACUGAAUACAUAGGUUAACGAGGCGAACCGGGGGAACUGAAACAUCUAAGUACCCCGAGGAAAAGAAAUCAACCGAGAUUCCCCCAGUAGCGGCGAGCGAACGGGGAGCAGCCCAGAGUCUGAAUCAGCUUGUGUGUUAGUGGAACGGUCUGGAAAGUCCGACGGUACAGGGUGAUAGUCCCGUACACCAAAAUGCACAGGCUGUGAACUCGAAGAGUAGGGCGGGACACGUGGUAUCCUGUCUGAAUAUGGGGGGACCAUCCUCCAAGGCUAAAUACUCCUGACUGACCGAUAGUGAACCAGUACCGUGAGGGAAAGGCGAAAAGAACCCCGGCGAGGGGAGUGAAAAAGAACCUGAAACCGUGUACGUACA